rnacentral:lncRNA from 1 species
GUGCGCCAACAGAUGCCGGUCCCACCCGCGCUUGCGUGGGCGAAUGUCCAACACGCUAAGACACGUGGACGGUCUAAACGAGCGGUUCAAAGGGGCGUGGGAGUAGCCCAACGACGCGGGACGGUAACGUUCGGGAUCCGACGGGUUGUUCGUAAUCCGAUUGUACAAUAAUUACCAACCGGUGCUCUUGAAUAUAUAUGUAAAAGUGUAUAAAAUGUAGUGUAAGUAAAUGGAGAGAGUUGAGUAAAAUGUCGUUUUUUGUAUUGAUUCUUGCAUCCGUCCCUUUGACAUUAUACAACGGGGGUAUUUAUAGUUAUACAUAUGGAAUGGGAGCCCUUGGAUGAAGUGGCACGUGGCCUUAUCUCCUUGGUUUAAACGUCUGUUCUUAGGCAUGGGAUUUGACUCGCUAGCUUACGGCGCAUUUAUUGCUUGUGCAGGGCCUCCAUGCUAGUGACAAGACUUGACCUUUAUGCUUAUGACAAACAUUCCAUCAAUCAUUCGAAUAAGAUCCGUGCAGGCGAUCUCUUGGGAGAAGUGACCAUGGAGGAUGCUUGUGGUUGAGGCUCGCGAAUCAACUUCGGGGCUUCGUCUUCCAAGCCUCGGGCCAUGGGCCUCGGUUAGAAGCAGCUCGGAUAUAACCCACCUCGGUAAUAUGG